rnacentral:rRNA from 1 species
AGCUCCAAUAGCGUAUAUUAAAGUUGUUGCAGUUAAAAAGCUCGUAGUUGAACCUUGGGCUUGGUUGGCCGGUCCGCUUUAUGGCGAGUACUGGACCCAACCGAGCCUUUCCUUCUGGCUAACCAUUCGCCCUUGUGGUGUUUGGCGAACCAGGACUUUUACUUUGAAAAAAUUAGAGUGUUCAAAGCAGGCCUUUGCUCGAAUAUAUUAGCAUGGAAUAAUAGAAUAGGACGUUAUGGUUCUAUUUUGUUGGUUUCUAGGACCAUCGUAAUGAUUAAUAGGGACGGUCGGGGGCAUCAGUAUUCAGUUGUCAGAGGUGAAAUUCUUGGAUUUACUGAAGACUAACUACUGCGAAAGCAUUUGCCAAGGACGUUUUCA